GACGAACGCUGGCGGCGUGCCUAAUACAUGCAAGUAGAACGCAGUUUCGAACGUGUGAGUAACGCGUAGGUAACUGCCUGGUAGCGGGGGAUAACUAUUGGAAACGAUAGCUAAUACCGCAUACUACCCGCAGUCCCUUCGUUUUAUUAGCUAGUUGGGGAGGUAACGGCUCACCAAGGCAACGCUACAUAGCCGAACUGAGAGGGGGAUAGGCAACACAGGGACUGAGACACGGCCCAGACUCCUACGGGAGGCAGCAGUAGGGAAUCUUCGGCAAUGGGGGGAACCCUGACCGAGCAACGCCGCGUGAGUGAAGAAGGUUUUCGGAUCGUAAAGCUCGGUUGUUAAGGAAGCGGUACUUAACCAGAAAGGGACGGCUAACUACGUGCCAGCCGCCGCGGUAAUUC
rnacentral:rRNA from 1 species